CGAUUACGGCUCAGUAACACGUGGAUAACCUACCCUUAGGACUGGGAUAACCCUGGGAAACUGGGGAUAAUACUGGAUAGGCAAUUAUUCCUGUAAUGGUUUUUUGUUUAAAUGUUUUUUCGCCUAAGGAUGGGUCUGCGGCCGAUUAGGUAGUUGGUUAGGUAAUGGCUUACCAAGCCUUUGAUCGGUACGGGUUGUGAGAGCAAGAGCCCGGAGAUGGAACCUGAGACAAGGUUCCAGGCCCUACGGGGUGCAGCAGGCGCGAAACCUCCGCAAUGUGAGAAAUCGCGACGGGGGGAUCCCAAGUGCCAUUCUUAACGGGAUGGCUUUUCAUUAGUGUAAAGAGCUUUUGGAAUAAGAGCUGGGCAAGACCGGUGCCAGCCGCCGCGGUAACACCGGCAGCUCUAGUGGUAGCAGUUUUUAUUGGGCCUAAAGCGUCCGUAGCCGGUUUAAUAAGUCUCUGGUGAAAUCCUGCAGCUUAACUGUGGGAAUUGCUGGAGAUACUAU
rnacentral:rRNA from 1 species